GGCGUCGAAGUAAUGCAGCGAACAGAUUAAAGGUGUCAAUUGGGCAGAAUUUGUUCGUCCGUCCGUCCUUUUUUUCUGAUGAAGAUGAGGCCGAAACCAAACGCAAAUAUUUGGCAAAAGAGUUCGUGUUUGCGCUGGGAAUUGACCCAGGCAUAAGAUUCUUUAUUGCGGCAGUCCGUUGCGAUCUUACCACCGGCGAGAUUUCUUGGAUGUUUGCAGUCGGCGCCAUACUUGACCAAACAUAAAAGUAUUUUUUGAAUAAAUACCAUUCAAAAAAGCCAAUAAUGUCAAAAUGGCAUCAGAUUACCGUGAUAUGGAUAUGAUUUCUUCAAUGCAUCAUAUGACGGUUAUGAAAAACACCCUAGUGUAUUCUCGACCGCAAUUAGGAUAAGUCCAAAUAGAUUUAAGUAAAGAAAAUGUCAAUAAAGAAAGAAAAACACAUAA